rnacentral:rRNA from 1 species
GAUGAACGCUGGCGGCGUGCCUAACACAUGCAAGUCGAACGGAGUUAUUUUGGAAAUCUCUUCGGAGAUGGAAUUCAUAACUUAGUGGCGGACGGGUGAGUAACGCGUGAGCAAUCUGCCCUUAGGUGGGGGAUAACAGCCGGAAACGGCUGCUAAUACCGCAUAACACAUUGAAGCCGCAUGGUUUUGAUGUCAAAGAUUUAUUGCCUUUGGAUGAGCUCGCGUCUGAUUAGCUAGUUGGCGGGGUAACGGCCCACCAAGGCGACGAUCAGUAGCCGGACUGAGAGGUUGAACGGCCACAUUGGGACUGAGACACGGCCCAG